AUUGAACGCUGGCGGCAGGCCUAACACAUGCAAGUCGAACGGUAACAGGAAGCAGCUUGCUGCUUCGCUGACGAGUGGCGGACGGGUGAGUAAUGUCUGGGAAACUGCCUGAUGGAGGGGGAUAACUACUGGAAACGGUAGCUAAUACCGCAUAACGUCGCAAGACCAAAGAGGGGGACCUUAUGGCCUCUUGCCAUCGGAUGUGCCCAGAUGGGAUUAGCUAGUAGGUGGGGUAACGGCUCACCUAGGCGACGAUCCCUAGCUGGUCUGAGAGGAUGACCAGCCACACUGGAACUGAGACACGGUCCAGACUCCUACGGGAGGCAGCAGUGGGGAAUAUUGGACAAUGGGCGCAAGCCUGAUGCAGCCAUGCCGCGUGUAUGAAGAAGGCCUUCGGGUUGUAAAGUACUUUCAGCGGGGAGGAAGGGAGUAAAGUUAAUACCUUGGCUCAUUGACGUUACCCGCAGAAGAAGCACCGGCUAACUCCGUG
rnacentral:rRNA from 1 species